UACCCCGUCGUCUAACGGUAGGACAGCUGGCUCUGAACCAGCUAAUUGUGGUUCGAAUCCAUACGGGGUAA
rnacentral:tRNA from 1 species